UUGCACUCCAGCCUGGGCAACAAGAGUGAAACUCUGUCUCAAAAAAAUAAAAAAUAAAUAAAAAAUAAAAACAUUUAUUUUCUUAGUUCUCAAAAUACAGAAAAGAAUGUUAUGCUAUUUUGUGUGCAAACUGCUAUUUUCAAUAAGGAGCUCUUAACUGAGAAACAGUUGCCAUUUUUCAAUAAAGAACUCUCAAUUAGAAAUAUCAAGAAGUGAUGUUAAGUUUUUAUGGAAGUAAAUAAAAUAUCAUGACAUGAAAAGUUUAUAAUUUUUCCCCUAGCAAUGGCUUAUUCAGGGAAUUUUUCUUAUAUCUAAAGUUAAUGAUCUGAAAAGUGGUAAUCUUAUCAUUCACCAAGAUUUCAGGAUGUAAGUUAUUCCUACAGAACAAUCCAUUUUUACCAUUAAAGAUGAGUUUGUGUGCUUCAGAAGAUGUGACCCCAGUUGGCCACCAUCUCAAUCAGUAGUAAGUCACACCAUCAAUCCCUUGUUAAUGAUGGAACUCAUGUGAAGUUAAGAGGAAACAUAAUACUCUUUACCUCAUUCCCUGGUAGCAGAGCAGUUGACUCAUCUUUAACAUCAGUUACUGAGAUGUAACGCAGAAUCAUAUUCUACAGAAAAUAUGUGAUAAACUUUACACAAAUAAAUACACUUUAGAAAGGCAGUCAUUUGGAUUUUCUUUUUGUCAGAGAACACUGCAAGUCUUCCAGAAGAAUCUCUGAGAAAUUAAACACUUUAUAUGACAUUUUAUAGCAUGUAGAGAGGUUGAAACUCAGAGAACUAAAACUCAGAUGAUAGUCUAAAUACUUAAUUUGUUGCUGCUUUAUGCUGUACAUGAAAAGUGUGAGCUUAAAUUAUAAAUAAAAAACUACUGAACUAUCAAACCAUUUGGAGUACAUCCUUAUCUUUCCUCUAAAUUACUCUUUUUUCCCAUUAACAUCUACCUAUCCCAGGUCCUCUCUCCUCAGCCCUUGAUCUCUGCUUUCAAAGAUGACUAACUAACCUAAUAAACACAUCUAAGGCGAUGUGUCAACUUCAACCCAACCCUCUUUCCCCAGAUAACUGUCUGCAUUUCAAGAACAACCUACCAGAGACCUUACCUAUCACCUUGGCUCUCCCACCCAAUGGAGCUGGCUCUAAUGGUGGCACAAACCAGGAAGGGGAAAUCUGUGGUUUAAAUUCUUUAUGCCUCAUCCUCUGAGUGCUGAAGGCUUGCUGUAGGCUGUAUGCUGUUAAUGCUAAUCGUGAUAGGGGUUUUUACCUCCAACUGACUCCUACAUGUUAGCAUUAACAGGGUAUGAUGCCUGUUACUAGCAUUCACAUGGAACAAAUUGCUGCCGUGGGAGGAUGACAAAGAAGCAUGAGUCACCCUGCUGGAUAAACUUAGACUUCAGGCUUUAUCAUUUUUCAAUCUGUUAAUCAUAAUCUGGGCACUGGGAUGUUCAACCUUAAACUAAGUUUUAAAAGUAAGGUUAUUUAAAAGAUUUAUCAGUAGUAUCCUAAAUGCAAACAUUUUCAUUUAAAUAUCAAGCCCACGUUUGUUUUUAUCAUUAACAGAAAAUGUAUUCCUGUCAUUCUUAAUUGCAGGUUUUGACUUGUUCAAUAUAAUGUUCAUAAAUACCUUUGAUUCAACUGUUAGAAAUAUGGGCUAAACACAAAUUUCUAUAGUAUUUUUGUAGUUAAAAAUUAGAAGGACUAGUGACCUCCAGUUAUAUCAUGGAUUGUCUGGCAACAUUUUUUAAAAUACUUAGAAACUGGUACUUUACCCCAUGUAACGAUUUUCUGUUUAGGCAACUUCAGUUUAGAAUUAAUACUUUCAUUUGACUCUUAAAGGGAAAUUGAAAGGCUAUGAAGCUGAAUUUUUUAAAUGAGAUAUUUUUAACAAGUAGCAGGGUAAAUAACAUCUGAGAGCUAGUGAGAUAUUGUUUCCAUACAAGAUACAAAGAUUUAAUUUAAAAAGUCAUAUUUGAAAUGAAGUCCCAAAUCUAGGUUCAAGUUCAAUAGCUAAGCCACAUAAUAUGGUUGCGCAAGCAGAGAAUCUACCUUUCCACUUCUAAGCCUGUUUCUUCAUCCAUGAAAUGGAGAUAAUGCUUUACAAGGUUGUUGUGAGGUUUAGGUGAGAUAGAGAAUAUUCUGUAAGAUAAUCAAGUGCUCCAUCCAUGUUAUAGUUGGGUUAAUCCAAGAACUAGUCACCCUACUUUGUUAGAGAAAAGAAAAGCUAAUGAUUUAAUUUGCAGACUUUUUAAGGUUUGGGUUUCUAUGCAGUUUUUCUAAAUAACCAUAACUUACAAACAUGUAACCAAAUGUAAUUGUUAGUAUAUUUAAUGUAUACUUGUUUUAACAACUCUUCUCAACAUUUUGUCAAGUUUAUUCACUGUAACCAAAUAAAUCUCAUGAGUCUUUACUUGAUUUAAAAUAA